UGGGGAAUUUUGGACAAUGGGCGAAAGCCUGAUCCAGCAAUGCCGCGUGUGUGAAGAAGGCCUUCGGGUUGUAAAGCACUUUUGUCCGGAAAGAAAUCCUUGGCUCUAAUACAGUCGGGGGAUGACGGUACCGGAAGAAUAAGCACCGGCUAACUACGUGCCAGCAGCCGCGGUAAUACGUAGGGUGCAAGCGUUAAUCGGAAUUACUGGGCGUAAAGCGUGCGCAGGCGGUUUGCUAAGACCGAUGUGAAAUCCCCGGGCUCAACCUGGGAACUGCAUUGGUGACUGGCAGGCUAGAGUAUGGCAGAGGGGGGUAGAAUUCCACGUGUAGCAGUGAAAAUGCGUAGAGAUGUGGAGGAAAUACCGAUGGCGAAGGCAGCCCCCUGGGCCAAAUACUGACGCUCAUGCACGAAAAGCGUGGGGAGCAAAACAGGAUUAGAUACCCUGGUAGUCCACGCCCUAAAACGAUGUCAACUAGUUGUUGGGGAUUCAUUUCCUUAGUAACGUAGCUAACGCGUGAAGUUGACCGCCUGGGGGAGUACGGUCGCAAAGAUUAAAAACUCAAAAUGAAUUGACGGGGUCAUAGCUGUUUCCU
rnacentral:rRNA from 1 species